CAGAGAAUCUGGGGCCCAGGACGGAGCCGAGCAAUUGGGGUUCUGGGUACAGGGUAGUGCUGGGUGUCUGGUGUCCCAGGGUACUAGGGAGGAAGCCGGGCGUCAGGGGUCCCCAGGUACCAGGGGAGGAGGCCGAGCGUCAAGGGUCCCCGAGUGACAGGGAGGGGCUGGACUUUGAGGGUCUUGGGUACCAGGGAAGGGGCUGGGCAUUUGGGAAGGGGCCAGGUGUUGGGGAUCCAGAGUGCCAUGGCGGGGUCAGACGUUGGGAGUCCCGUUGACAGGAAUGGCCAGGCGUUGGGGGGUCAUGGGUGCCAGGGAGGAUAUAGGUGUCCUGGGUGCCAGGGAAGAGCUGGGUGUCCAGGGCCACGAGUGCCAGGAAAGUGGCUGGGCGUCAGGGUCCUGGGUACCAGGGAAGAGGCUGGGUGUCAGGGGUUCCUGGUGUCAAGGAGGGGGCCAGGAGUCUGGGAUCCCAAGGCCCAGUAGGGAGCCGGGCGAUGGGGUUCCUAGGUACCAUGCAAGGGGUUGGGCAUUGGGGGUCUGGGGUGCCACAGAGGAUACCGGGCUUCGGGGGUCUGGGGUGCCAAGGAGGGUAUAGGCAGCAGGUGUCCCGGGUGUCAAGGAAGGGGCCCGACAUCGGGAUCCCGGAUGUCCGGGAAGGGGCCGGGCAUCAGGGGUCCCAGAUACCAUGGAUGUGGGCCGGGUGUCUGGGGUCCCAAGUGACAGGAAGGGACAGGACAUCCGCUGUCACGGUUGACAGAGAGGUGGUCGGGGGUCCUGGGUGCAAGGGAGGGGUAGGAUGGUGGGGUCCUGGUGCUAGGGAGGGGCUGGGAUCAAGGGUCCUGGGUGCCAGGGAAGAGGCUGGGUGUUGGGGUCCCGGUUGCCAGGGAGGAGGCCGGGAGUCAGGGGUCCCGGGUGUCAAGGAGGGGGCCAAGCUUUAGGGAUCCCGGGGCCCAGGAAGCCAGACAAUGGGGCUCCCAGGUACCAGGAAAGGGGCUGGGCGUUGGGGGUCUGGGAUGCCAGAGAGGGGCCGGGCGUCGGGGAUCCAGGGUGCCAGGGAGGGGGCCAGGUGUCGGGGGUCCUGGGCACCAGAGAGGAGGCUGGACAUCGGCAGUCACUGUUGUCAAGGUGGGGGCCAAGUGUCCGGAUUCCAGGGUCCAGAAGGGAGCUGGGCAUCGGGGAUCCAUGGUGCCAGGGAGGGGCCAGGCAUCGAGGAUCCUGGGUGUCAAGUAAGGGGCCAGGCUUUGGGGAUCCCGGGUCCCAGGAGGGAGUUGGGGGUUCUGGGUACCAGGGUAGGGGCUGGGCAUCAGGGGUCCAGGGUGCCAGGGUGGGGGCCAGGCAUCGAGGUUCUGGGUGCAAGGGAGGGGUUCGAAGUCCCAGGUGCCAGGGAGGAGUUGGGCGUCCACGUUCCCGGGUGCUAG
rnacentral:lncRNA from 1 species